rnacentral:rRNA from 1 species
CCUACGGGUGGCUGCAGUGGGGAAUAUUGGACAAUGGGGGGAACCCUGAUCCAGCCAUGCCGCGUGUGUGAAGAAGGCCCUCGGGUUGUAAAGCACUUUCAGUGAGGAAGAACGCCUGGUGGUUAAUACCCAUCAGGAAAGACAUCACUCACAGAAGAAGCACCGGCUAACUCCGUGCCAGCAGCCGCGGUAAUACGGAGGGUGCGAGCGUUAAUCUGAAUUACUGGGCGUAAAGCGCGCGUAGGUGGCUUGAUAAGCCGGUUGUGAAAGCCCCGGGCUCAACCUGGGAACGGCAUCCGGAACUGUCAAGCUAGAGUGCAGGAGAGGAAGGUAGAAUUCCCGGUGUAGCGGUGAAAUGCGUAGAGAUCGGGAGGAAUACCAGUGGCGAAGGCGGCCUUCUGGACUGACACUGACACUGAGGUGCGAAAGCGUGGGUAGCAAACAGGAUUAGAUACCCCGGUAGUC